rnacentral:rRNA from 1 species
AGUUUGAUCCUGGCUCAGAUUGAACGCUGGCGGCAGGCCUAACACAUGCAAGUCGAGCGGGGUUUUCGGACCUAGCGGCGGACGGGUGAGUAAUGCGUAGGAAGCUACCCGAUAGAGGGGGAUACCAGUUGGAAACGACUGUUAAUACCGCAUAAUGUCUACGGACCAAAGUGUGGGACCUUCGGGCCACAUGCUAUCGGAUGCGCCUACGUGGGAUUAGCUAGUUGGUGGGGUAAUGGCUCACCAAGGCGACGAUCCCUAGCUGGUUUGAGAGGAUGAUCAGCCACACUGGAACUGAGACACGGUCCAGACUCCUACGGGAGGCAGCAGUGGGGAAUAUUGGACAAUGGGCGCAAGCCUGAUCCAGCCAUGCCGCGUGUGUGAAGAAGGCCUUCGGGUUGUAAAGCACUUUCAGCGAGGAGGAAGGGAGUUGUGUUAAUAGUACAGCUUCUUGACGUUACUCGCAGAAGAAGCACCGGCUAACUCUGUGCCAGCAGCCGCGGUAAUACAGAGGGUGCAAGCGUUAAUCGGAAUUACUGGGCGUAAAGCGCACGUAGGCGGUUUUUUAAGUCAGAUGUGAAAGCCCCGGGCUCAACCUGGGAAUUGCAUUUGAAACUGGAAAACUAGAGUGUGUGA